rnacentral:rRNA from 1 species
UACGUAGGGUGCGAGCGUUAAUCGGAAUUACUGGGCGUAAAGAGCACGUAGGCGGUUUGAUAAGCGGAAUGUGAAAGCCCCGGGCUUAACCUGGGAACUGCAUUCCGAACUGUCAGGCUAGAGUAUGAUAGAGGUGAGCGGAAUUUCCUGUGUAGCGGUGAAAUGCGUAGAUAUAGGAAGGAACAUCAGUUGCGAAGGCGGCUCACUGGAUCAAUACUGACGCUGAGGUGCGAAAGCGUGGGUAGCGAACAGG